AUGGAUAGUCAUGAAUAUAGUGAGCUGGAGAGGGCGUCAGGUGACAAAAGCAUGGGUCCAAUCGUCAUUCCUUACUCGGUUUUCAAGGCCAUCACAAACAAUUUCUCUGCUGAUCAACUAAUCGGCAGUGGUGGGUUUGGAGUGGUUUACAAGGGUACGCUUCGAAAUGGUAUGAUGGUUGCUGUGAAGAAACUUCGUAAUGAACAGUUGGAGGUUCUCUCACAAAAUUUCGACAGUGAGGCCGAUUGUCUCAAAAAGGUCAAGCACAAAAAUAUAGUACGGUUUCUAGGACACUGCUCUAACACGCAAAUGGUGCCGAUGCUAUAUGAAGGAAAAGAAGUCUUGGGAGUAGAACGAGAAAAGUUAUUAUGCUUUGAGUACCUAAGUAAAGGGACCCUCGACAAGUAUUUCAAAGAAUGCGAACCUGAGUGGUCUACGCGAUAUCAAAUAAUCAGGGGGAUAUGCGAGGGCCUGCACUAUCUUCACCGCCACCAGCAGCGCAUUAUUCAUAUGGACCUCAAACCUCAGAAUAUACUAUUGGACGAUUAUAUGGUACCUAAAAUAGCGGAUUUUGGUCUAUCCAAGCGGUUACCUGAAAGCCAAAGCCUGAUUAUUACCGAAAAACGAGCAGGAACACUGGGAUAUUUGGCACCGGAAUUCAUAAACAGAGGUGAAAUGACAUUGAAGACGGACAUAUAUAGUCUAGGGGUUAUAAUCAUAAAGAUUAUGAUGGGACUUAAACUUGACGAGCGCCCCAACCUUGACGAGGUGCUGGAAAGUUGGAAGAACACGUUUGGUACAUCACAGAGCCAUACACUAUUAGAACAAGUAAAAGUAUGUGCUGAGAUAUGGAUAGAUUGCACGGAUGAUAACCCACUGAAGCGACCUACAAUAGGGGAUAUUAUCUGUAGGCUUAAUGGAAUAGAUAUUUCAAACUCGUCUAGCACUUCAUCAACUCUGAUAAAUGGAGUAAAUAUUUACCCUCUCGAGCUCUGCUUUCCAUUCGAGGCAGGAAAACGUAUCGAAUGCCCACUGAGCAUAGCUAACAUGACAGAUCGUUAUGUGAACUAUUGGGUUGCACCCCAGUUCCCCAAUAUGUAUACUCCUUGUAAGCACGAACUCGUGAACGAAAUCCGUACUGGAACCAACAAUCUGGACCCAAUGUCAACUGGCUCUUUCAAUGUGACAAUGCUGGAGCAACAACAACCGCCAUCAGACGCGGGCAUGUUUAAGAUAGUAAUGAUCGCCAUGGGGAGCAGGAACGACCUUAAAAAGCUGAAGUCAUCCAUAGGCGAUGAGCCUAAAAUUGAUGGCGAAUUAUUGAAGCGAGUCAAAGAGGUAGGGGGCGAGGAGCAUACAGCAAUGUUGAGGGCCGUCAUCUGCCUACCAAGUGAGGAGGGAGUGGCCCCCAAGGUGAGUUCUGCAUAUCAAGUAAUCCCUCUGUCUCAAAAUAAAUGUCUCAACUAUAGCUUUAUGGACGAAUACGCGACAUGA
rnacentral:rRNA from 1 species